CGGGGCGUGGCGCAGCUUGGUAGCGCGUAUCGUUCGGGACGAUAAGGUCGUGGGUUCAAAUCCCGCCGCCCCGACCA
rnacentral:tRNA from 1 species